GUGAAGUGAUGAUGAUGUUUAUCCAUUCUCUGAGUGCAGCUGCCCUGCCCUCCCUGCAGCACCCAGAUUCCUGUUCUAGGGUCUCCGUGCUGUGCAGCCUCCAGAUGUCUUCAACCUUUCAGUGUUCUACUGUGGGUUGCCAGUGUGUCUGGCUGGCUGCCUGCAGGUGUGGAGCAGGGCCAGCAAAGCUAGAGCUCCUCUCUGGGGGCUCUGUCUGAACUAAGACGAAUGAUGCUGUCUGAUCAC
rnacentral:snoRNA from 1 species